CAGCCUCCCGAGUAGCUGGGACUACAGGCUCCUGCCACCACGCCCAGCUAAUUUUUUUGUGUUUUUAGUAGAGACAGGAUUUCACCGCGUUCGCCCGGAUGGUCUCGAUCUCCUGACCUCGUGAUCCGCCCACCUCAGCCUCCUAAAGUGCUGAGAUUACAGGAGUGAGCCACUGCGCCCGGCUGCAAUAUUUCAUUUAGAAUUUUAGCAUCUGUAUUCAAGAGAGAGGUUCGGAAUUGGCCAUGGCGAAGUGUUAACUGUGCUGCUGUCUAAUGUGGAAUGUAGUGGCAGAUGAACCUGGGAAGAGGAGAAACAAGAAAAGGGCUGAAAGGGGGAAGAGAUGGUAGAAGAAAAAAAAUACGUUGGAUACAGUGGAACCACCAGGUGGCGCCACGCUACAAUAUGACUCUUGGAAGUCUCCUUUUAAAGAGAGAGCAAGGGACCACAAGAGAAACCUACCAGAAAAUACAAAUGGUCCAACUCUGAAUGGGAAUGAAAAACAUACCUGUACAAAAUAUGCACUAAAAAAAAAAAAUCAGAAGUCUAACAAUAUAUAUUGAACAACUGUGUAUUACAAAGACUCCCUGGCAAGUUCUCAUCUGUUCUGACCAGUUGGUAUUUUCAGCGUUCUUCUUUCACUUUGGCCAUUUUGGUUGUCUAUCCACAAGAUCUCUGAAGAGAUCAGGUGUCCAAGCUUUGGCCCAGCAAACACAUUCUAGAAACUUCUUGCCAGAGAAGCAGCCAUUCUCAGCUCAGAAUGUUUUGUGGCAAUUCUCAUAAAACAAAACCUAACUCACCUAUUCUCAGUAUUCGACCAGCAGAACACCUCACUUACCUGUGCACAUGAUCUAAUGCAACGAAGAGUCCCUAACAGGUUACACCUGGUGAGUAUGCAGACGUAGAGAUCUUCUUUGUCUUAAAACAGGUUUUAGCUGUGGCACGGACAUUUUGGACCCAAUCAAUCUUUGUGGUGGGGGCUGUCCUGUACAUCACAGCAUAUUUACCAGCAUCCCUACUUUCCACUCCCCAGAGCCUGCACCACCCCCUCCUCAAGCUGUGAUGACCAAAACUGUCUCCUGACAUUGCUCUAAUGUCUCCAUGGGGAGCAAAAUCACUCCCUAUGGGAACCAGUGUCAUAAACCAUUUUAGAGGCAAACUACAAACUAACUCCCCAAACUGUGAUGGUGGAAAUAGUCUAUAACUUCCUAAUACAGCAGCUGAUCACUACAUGACACUGCUAAGCACCUGAAAUGUGGCUAAGUAUGAGGAGAAUUCUUAAUUUAAUUUCAUUUUAAUUAAGUCCUACAUAUACUAUAAGGACAAGAUGCUUCAUCAUGGAAAGCUGUGUAGAUAUCUGAUACCUCUGUUAAAAAUCAUGUGGUUGAUAGGCAAUAAAAACUUACAGAAAGGGUUUCACCAUGUUGUCCAGGCUGGUCUCAAACUAUCCACCCACCUCCAUCUCCAAAAGAGCUGGGAUUACAGUUGUGAGUCACUGCACCAGGCAUAAAUGUUUUAUUAGUCCUAUUUCUAUCCAUUUAAUUUUCAUUCUGACUAGGUAUUUGUUAAAUUAAGAGGUGAACUGUGAAGUUAAAGAUUACAAUGAUAGAAAUUUAAAUUCUCUUUUAAAU
rnacentral:lncRNA from 10 species